UACGGAGGGGGUUAGCGUUGUUCGGAAUUACUGGGCGUAAAGCGCACGUAGGCGGAUCAGCAAGUUAGGGGUGAAAUCCCAGGGCUCAACCCUGGAACUGCCCUUAAAACUGUUGGCCUAGAGUUCGAGAGAGGUGAGUGGAAUUCCGAGUGUAGAGGUGAAAUUCGUAGAUAUUCGGAGGAACACCAGUGGCGAAGGCGGCUCACUGGCUCGAUACUGACGCUGAGGUGCGAAAGCGUGGGGAGCAAACAGG
rnacentral:rRNA from 1 species